UACGAAGGGGGCUAGCGUUGUUCGGAAUUACUGGGCGUAAAGCGCACGUAGGCGGAUAUUUAAGUCAGGGGUGAAAUCCCAGAGCUCAACUCUGGAACUGCCUUUGAUACUGGGUAUCUUGAGUAUGGAAGAGGUAAGUGGAAUUGCGAGUGUAGAGGUGAAAUUCGUAGAUAUUCGCAGGAACACCAGUGGCGAAGGCGGCUUACUGAUCCAUUACUGACGCUGAGGUGCGAAAGCGUGGGGAGCAAACAGG
rnacentral:rRNA from 1 species